rnacentral:rRNA from 1 species
UACGUAGGGCGCAAGCGUUAUCCGGAAUUAUUGGGCGUAAAGAGCUCGUAGGCGGUUUGUCGCGUCUGCCGUGAAAGUCCGGGGCUCAACUCCGGAUCUGCGGUGGGUACGGGCAGACUAGAGUGAUGUAGGGGAGACAGGAAUUCCUGGUGUAGCGGUGAAAUGCGCAGAUAUCAGGAGGAACACCGAUGGCGAAGGCAGGUCUCUGGGCAUUAACUGACGCUGAGGAGCGAAAGCAUGGGGAGCGAACAGG